UUUCUGUAGGUGAACCUGCAGAAGGAUCAUUAAAGAUUCGACCUUCGGGUCUAUGUCUCUUCAGCUGUGCACUUCGGCUGCACGCUGUUGAACCUCUCACACCUGUGCACCAUUCGGUUGCGGUUUCGGCCGCUUCCACUUUUACACUUACAACCACAGUUCAGAAUGUAAAACACAAUAACAAUAACAACUUUCAACAACGGAUCUCUUGGCUCUC
rnacentral:misc_RNA from 1 species